rnacentral:rRNA from 1 species
UACGAAGGGGGCUAGCGUUGCUCGGAAUUAUUGGGCGUAAAGGGCUCGUAGGCGGUUUGUCGCGUCGGGAGUGAAAACUCAGGGCUUAACCCUGAGCCUGCUUCCGAUACGGGCAGACUAGAGGUAUGCAGGGGAGAACGGAAUUCCUGGUGUAGCGGUGAAAUGCGCAGAUAUCAGGAGGAACACCGGUGGCGAAGGCGGUUCUCUGGGACGGUACUGACGCUGGAGACGCGAAAGCGUGGGGAGCGAACAGG